UUCAAUAGAGGCUUUCAAAAUCAUAAUUUGAGAUAUGUAUCUUCCACAUUAUAGCUCAUCUUAAAUCAUUACGAUUGAAAACACAUAUUUCAAACAUAUAAGAGCAUAUUCAGAAUCUUUGUAUUUAAUGUUGAGUUUUGGUACAAAUUAGAACAUUAUAUACCAAAUUUAGGCAAGUUGAAGGAUAGAACAAAAUCAAUUUAUUUUCCCUAAAUAGAGAUAUCCUUCUCUUCUCCUUUUUACAAAUUUAUUCAACUUUCAGAUUUUAGAGAUGAUUGUGAACGACAAAUCUGAAAUUUCUUUUCAAUAAUAAAAUAAAAUAACUUCAUAUAGUAUUUCAAACAUUCAAUCAGAUUAUCCAAUCAUGGAACAUUACAAAAUAUUGAGAAUCCAUAAU
rnacentral:lncRNA from 1 species